UACGUAGGGGGCGAGCGUUGUUCGGAUUUACUGGGCGUAAAGCGCGCGUAGGCGGCCUUGUAAGUCCGUUCUGAAAGCCCGGGGCUCAACCCCGGGAGGCGGAUGGAUACUGCAAGGCUCGAGUACGGAAGAGGCGAGUGGAAUUCCCGGUGUAGCGGUGAAAUGCGCAGAUAUCGGGAGGAACACCAAUGGCGAAGGCAGCUCGCUGGGACGUUACUGACGCUGAGACGCGAAAGCGUGGGGAGCAAACAGG
rnacentral:rRNA from 1 species